rnacentral:rRNA from 1 species
AGAGAAAUUUGAGCUAAUACCGGAUAAUGUCUUCGGACCAAAAGACUUUAUCGGCCUUUAGAUGGGCCCGCGUUGGAUUAGCUAGUUGGUGGGGUAAAGGCCUACCAAGGGCGACGAUCCAUAGCUGGUCUGAGAGGAUGAUCAGCCACACUGGGACUGAGACACGGCCCAGACUCCUACGGGAGGCAGCAGUGGGGAAUAUUGGACAAUGGGGCCGAAAAGCCGUGAUCCAGCAAUGCCGCGUGAGUGAUGAAGGCCUUAGGGUUGUAAAGCUCUUUUACCCGAGAUGAUAAUGACAGUAUCGGGAGAAUAAGCUCCGGCUAACUCCGUG